rnacentral:rRNA from 1 species
AUUGAACGCUGGCGGCAUGCCUAACACAUGCAAGUCGAACGGUAACAGGCCCUUCGGGGUGCUGACGAGUGGCGGAUGGGUGAGUAAUACUUAGGAAUCUACCCUGUAGUGGGGGACAACCCGGGGAAACUCGGGCUAAUACCGCAUACGCUCUACGGAGGAAAGCGGGGGACCGCAAGGCCUCGCGCGUAUUGGAUGAGCCUAAGCCCGAUUAGCUAGUUGGUGGGGUAAUAGCCUACCAAGGCAAUGAUCGGUAGCUGGGUCUGAGAGGACGACCAGCCACACUGGGACUGAGACACGGGCCCGACUCCUACGGGAGGCAGCAGUAAGGAAUAUUGGUCAAUGGACGCAAGUCUGAACCAGCCAUGCCGCGUGGAGGAUGAAGGUCCUCUGGA